GCUGGGCAUGGUGACGCACACCUGUAAUUCCUGACAACUGGGGAGGCUGAAGCUGGUGGAUAGCUUGGGUUCUGGAGUCCUGAGCUUUUAUAAGGGCUAAAGUGUAUUGAGUACUAAAAAUAAAAUAAAAUUACUGCAGACAAUUUUUUUUAAAAAGUGUAUUGGGUGUCUGCACCAAAUCCACUACCAGCUUAGUGAGCCCCUCAAAGUAGGGGGAGCACUAGGCUGCCUAAGAAGAGGUCAACUGGCCCAAGUUGGAAAAAGAAUAGAUCAAAGUUUCUGUAAUGAUCAGCAGUGUGAUCAGACCCAUAAGUAACUGCUGUACUUCCAGCCUGGACAAAAUAGGGAGACCCAGUCU
ensembl:misc_RNA Metazoa_SRP Metazoan signal recognition particle RNA